UACGAAGGGUGCAAGCGUUACUCGGAAUUACUGGGCGUAAAGCGUGCGUAGGUGGUUCGUUAAGUCUGAUGUGAAAGCCCUGGGCUCAACCUGGGAAUGGCAUUGGAUACUGGCGACCUAGAGUGCGGUAGAGGGGUGUAGAAUUCCCGGUGUAGCAGUGAAAUGCGUAGAUAUCGGGAGGAACAUCUGUGGCGAAGGCGACACCCUGGACCAGCACUGACACUGAGGCACGAAAGCGUGGGGAGCAAACAGG
rnacentral:rRNA from 1 species